rnacentral:rRNA from 1 species
GACGAACGCUGGCGGCGUGCUUAACACAUGCAAGUCGAACGGAAAGGCCCUGCUUUUGUGGGGUGCUCGAGUGGCGAACGGGUGAGUAACACGUGAGUAACCUGCCCUUGACUUUGGGAUAACUUCAGGAAACUGGGGCUAAUACCGGAUAGGAGCUCCUGCUGCAUGGUGGGGGUUGGAAAGUUUCGGCGGUUGGGGAUGGACUCGCGGCUUAUCAGCUUGUUGGUGGGGUAGUGGCUUACCAAGGCUUUGACGGGUAGCCGGCCUGAGAGGGUGACCGGGCACACAGGGGGAGAGAGACGGCCCCGAGACCCCCGGGGGGGAGAAGGGGGGGAAAUGUCGCACAGGGCGGGGGAGUGAGACACAGCCGCCGCGUGCGGGGGGUGGGGGCCUUGGGUGUGAAAAGCGUUCGCGUGUGACGAAACGUGAGAGAGAGGAAAGGGGGAAGAAACACACGGGAAAUAUGC